rnacentral:rRNA from 1 species
UACCCCGAUGAUUGGGACAACCCGAGGAAACUCGGGCUAAUACCAAAAUGUGCUCCUGGCCAUAAUGGCCUUGAGGAAAGGAAGCUUCGGCCUCCGCAUCGGGAUGGGCCCGCGGCCCAUUAGCUAGUUGGUGGGGUAACGGCCUACCAAGGCGACGAUGGGUAGCUGGUCUGAGAGGACGAUCAGCCACACUGGGACUGAGACACGGCCCAG